CCUACGGGUGGCAGCAGUGAGGAAUAUUGGUCAAUGGGCGAGAGCCUGAACCAGCCAAGUCGCGUGAAGGAUGACGGCCCUACGGGUUGUAAACUUCUUUUGUCAGGGAGUAAUUGAGUCCACGUGUGGUCUUAGCGAGAGUACCUGAAGAAAAAGCAUCGGCUAACUCCGUGCCAGCAGCCGCGGUAAUACGGAGGAUGCGAGCGUUAUCCGGAUUUAUUGGGUUUAAAGGGUGCGUAGGCGGUUUGAUAAGUUAGAGGUGAAAUGUCGGGGCUCAACCCCGAAACUGCCUCUAAUACUGUUGGACUAGAGAAUAGUUGCGGUAGGCGGAAUGUAUGGUGUAGCGGUGAAAUGCUAAGAGAUCAUACAGAACACCGAUUGCGAAGGCAGCUUACCAAACUAUAUCUGACGUUGAGGCACGAAAGCGUGGGUAGCAAACAGGAUUAGAUACCCGUGUAGUC
rnacentral:rRNA from 1 species